rnacentral:rRNA from 1 species
AGGACGAACGCUGGCGGCGUGCUUAACACAUGCAAGUCGAACGGUGACCUCCUCUUCGGAGGGGUGAUCAGUGGCGAACGGGUGAGUAACACGUGAGCAACCUGCCCUUGACUCUGGAAUAACCCCGGGAAACCGAGGCUAAUACCGGAUACGACCUCUAGUGGCAUCACAUGAGGUGGAAAGUUUUCGGUCAAGGAUGGGCUCGCGGCCUAUCAGCUAGUUGGUGGGGUAAUGGCCUACCAAGGCGACAACGGGUAGCCGGCCUGAGAGGGCGACCGGCCACACUGGGACUGAGACACGGCCCAGACUCCUACGGGAGGCAGCAGUGGGGAAUAUUGCGCAAUGGGCGAAAGCCUGACGCAGCGACGCCGCGUGAGGGAUGACGGCCUUCGGUUGUAAACCUCUUCGGCAGGGAUGAAGCCUUCGGGUGACAGUACCUGCAAAAGAAGCACCGGCUAACUACGUGCCAGCAGCCGCGGUAA